AGACAGUUUAAUCAGGCAACUAUUAUGAUUAUACAACUUUAACAAUAUAUAUAUUUUUUUCAUCUUUCACUGGAUUUCGAUAGAAUUCAUUCAAACUAAUUCCGUAGAAAUGGUUAUAAAUCAAAAGGCAAAGAUGAGAUAAAGAAUUACAAGGAAUUACUAUCACUUCUGCAAUUAUUAUUGGUACUCCACUCAUCUUCUUCUUGAAGGACUACAGGAUCAAAAUGGUUCCAGCUGAUCAUUACCAAAGUCAGUUCAUCUUAGUGGCAUCUGGAGAAAUUUGCCUGGAGUGGAUGUGAUGUGAUUCCUUGAAGGAGAAACAAUAUGACACCAGAAAGGAGGGAGAAAGAAGACACUAGGAAGGGCAUGGCUCACUUCUCACUCACGCUAGCCAGAAAAGGAGGUGCUGAAAUAACCUAAAGAGGCUGUGCAGCCUGGCUUGAAGAGAGAAGAGAAGUUCAGCAAGUUUAGUGAGAACGGCUGUUCCUGUGAGAUUUCCAGCUGAAGGGCCUUAACCAGGAUGACACUAAUUCUGCAGAUCUCAUUCUCCUCAUUUGUGAAACUCAGAAAAGUUUCAGGUUAGCAUCCAGGAUAAAAGCAUAAUUGGAAGUAAAAUGAAGUCAAUUUCACAGUUACAUUUGUCUAAAAUGAGUCUGUUUUCUCUCCUCAGCUUCUAAAUGAUUGUCUAAACUGCAUCUCUUGUGAUUUUGCUUAAUUAUUUGCAAUCUCUCCUCAUCUGUCAUUUGCUUAUGCUUCUCAUACAUUCCAUCUCAUCUUCUUUGUAGUAUCACUUAAUAACUUUUCUAAUGAAUUUCCUAAAUUCAUUCCAGCAUUCUAGGUAUCUUUGUUUAUGCCUCUAGCAUUUCGACAGCAGGUCAUUAAAUAAGUUGUUAUCAAUUUAAACUUCAUAAUUGUUUUAACUUUCCAUCCAGCAUCAUAAAACUGCUAUGCAGUCAACUGUGAUCACUCUAAAGAUUAAAACUACAAAAAUAAACUACUGCAUAAAGUUUU